GAAGGAAGCCAUGAUGCUACUCCAAAUCGAAGUCAUAAUCAAUGAGAUGAGUUGAAGCAGAUGGGUGGAUGACUUGUCACAUUACAAGCCGCCAUUGAAAUUUUUGAAGGCUUCAAAGAGAUUAUUUGAAGUGUUACAGGAAGUGAUGCUAACUUGCCGGUUGUGUCUAAGGGACAGAAGGAAUAAUGCAUUGCAGUAUUCUCGCUCGUGAUUAGCUUCUCAUACAUGGUUCUUACCUAGCGGAUGCAUAGUCGAUCCUUUCAUCUUUUGUCUCACUCUUCACCGUGGCUUUGGAAACUAUCCUUUUGCCAAUCUGUUGGUCUCAUUCCGAUUGAAUGAGUAUGUCUCUGCACCAGUGUGCCAAUUAGAGAUGAAGGCUCAAGAAAAUGGAGAUUUGUCCAAGCUUUAGCAAGAGUGUAUGGACACAUGAUGGAGGUUAUCAGUCUGCACCUAUGGCUGUUUAGCUAAGGAUGUAGUUACCUGUGUUCAAGGAAGGAUGAGUUGAGAGAGAUAUGUUUGUGUUGAGCAUGGAGAUGCAGGUCUAUUCCUCGCCUCAGAUUCAAUGCAUGUUGUUACAUUGAGCACACUUUGUUGCUACUUAAACUUGAGGACAAGUUUCUUAAAAGAGGGAGAGUCUGAUGUAGUAGAAUAUAGUUAGGUUAAGUGUAUUAAAUAGCCUAUUAGUUGAAGUCUAUAAAUAAGAGGUGUAAUACCCAUUUGUACUGAGUUUUUGGAAUAAAGAAUAUACAUUGUGAUUGGAGUAGAACUUGGUUUCUCUCUCUAGCCCCA